GCCCACAGCUUUCCCAACAAGACAUGGAAACUGAAGAAGUCUGUGUGCAAAAACAAAAUGAGGGGGUGGGGCUCACUCUUCCUGCACAUGCGCAGAUCGACACAACCUCGUGGGACAAAGAAACACACCAGAGGAGAUUUUCGCUGUGAGGCCCCGGUGAUAGUGAAUUGCGAGUCAGAGGUGCCGGGUCUCUCUGGUAUCUUCCUCUACCCAGGAGAGAACAUCACAGUCACUUGUAAUAGAGGUUUUUACCUGAAGAACGGCCUCUCCAUUACACACUGUCAGACUAAUGGAUCCUGGAGUAUGCUACCUGUAUGCAAACGUUGUCAAGGUAUCAAGAACUGUAGAAGUACAAUGUGUACUAAGCGAGCUAACACUGUCUGCCUGGAAUGUCUUGGAUCAUAUACCAACCAAGUGCCUCAGGGAAGGAAUGUUACGUCGCACACCCUCCUCGUUCGUAUGGACUGGGAACAGAGCCACAAUCUCAUGCGCAGCAUCGGGAAGUCAGCCAUUCCUGUACUGAGGUUUUUCUUAAAUCUCACAGAGGAACUAAACUCAAUCAGUACUAUGAUCGACGAGACUACACGUACUUUGAACCUGACCACUGAGGUGACGGGGGAGUACAGAUGCGUGGCCAGCAAUGUGGUAGGCAACACGACGUGGCUAGUCAUAGUAGGUAAGCAUUGCAAGAGGUCAUGUACCCUAUACACAAGCUAGAGGUCAUGUACCCUACAGCGGGUUGUUUUUGUGUGGUGGAAUUUUUCAUAUUUAGAAUUAAAAAUUUAAAACUAUCGCUAUAAUUUUGUAGCUCUUUGAAAGGCCUAUACCAUAUUACUAGAAUGUUUUGCGAGCAUCAAAUAUUUGCGAACUUUGCGAUGGUCGAUCAAUAAUUAUUCGCAACAAUAUAAUCUGCAAAACCUAAAUUAUUACUAGUAAAUACACACGAUCCUUGCCAGAACGCAAUAGUUAGAUCACCGCAAAGAGUAAAUUUUUUGGCUCAUUCACAAAGGUUUUUCACCAGCAAAAUAUUCUAGUAAUACGGUAUCUAUUAGUGGUUGCUUACUGGUAAAUGUAUACUGGCCUAUAAUUUUCAAAAUGGGCUUAUUUUGAUGGCUAACUUGUACCCUUGAUGUCUAGAGAUAAUUAUCUAUUUAGAGGUGCUGUACCUGUUCUCUCAUGUGUCUUAAGGGUGCUGGCCCAUAGUAAUAAAUUGAUAACAUUUAACCACAAGAAUGCAGAUAGUAUGGCUGCAAUAAUUGCACAGGCGCAAUGUUUACAAUCACUGCGUGUGCGUUAUCUCAUUAGUUGUGGCUGCGCUCAUGUACAUUGUACUACCAUACUUACCACAUGGUGCAGCUGUAAUCAAAUUAUAGCUAGCUAGAGUAUGUCUUCCAGGAAGCGCCUAAUGCAACUAGAGGCUUCCAGAGAGGCCAAAAAAAUGAAGAACUCAGAAGGUCAUAUAAAUACAACAAUAAUAUAAAUAAAAUCAUAAUUAUGUAAAUGCAUAGAUGAUGACAAUACGUUCAGCAUGCCAAGUGUUGGGGUGCAAACGGAGCAUGAGCUUGUCUGCCACGGUGCGGCGUGCAGACAGCAGAAGUAAGCACGGAUGACAAGAGCAUCCAGUUUCCUGAGCCCCAAUCAGCAGAUGUCAUAAUAGAUGCUCUCUCACGUCUUUCUGAAGCAGCACAGCAGGCAGGGUAUUCUCUUGACUCUGAGAGCCUAUCAUCUUUCGUAUCUAACGGGAGUGUGUCUCUUCAAUCGGUGGGUACUUUCCAAAUGCACAACUCCAGCUGUUCCUGGACGCAAUAUUAUCCUGUGUUAACAUUUCUAAUUAACGGUUAUUUGCACGCGGAUUACCUGCGAUUGUGUGGUUCUUUGGGUCUCCCAUCCUGUUACAGCACUCAGUGGCACAGAAUAGUUACUAAACUUGAAAUUCACGUCACUAAGUUGGCAGAGUGGUCCUGUGAUCAUGUACAACAACAGAUAGUGAGCAGGGGUGAUGACCAGAAAUGGAUUGCAUCCUAUGAUGGUUUCUACCAGACCCGGGGCCACUAUUCUAACAACAGCUCGGCUACACUACACGAUCACGAUAGUGGUUGUAUUGCGUGGUUUGCUCACCGGACGAAACGUGGUCCAGGACACAACUGGGAGGGUACGUCAGGAGGUGCUGAAGCUGAUAUGUUCAAUGAGAUUCUGAGAAAGGGUCAAGGCUGCUGGCUUUAUCCUCCGAGAAGUGAUCACAGAUAAGGAUUCUUCAAUGAACAGUAUCUACUGCCGUCACUUCCCAGAAGGAACAAUCACUUACUGUUCAAACCACUGCGCCAAAACUCUGCACAUAAAUUUGCAAAAAAUUAAGCAGAGAAAGUGUGAGUGUAGAGUAACCGGCUUUAGGUGUAAGCGGAUGAUAGACUCCUUCCUGAGCUGUUGCAAGGCAGCACUGAGCAACUUGAUUGCUUCCGAUAAAACCCAGGGUGAUGAAAAUGCAUUCGUCCGCUUUUCGGAGGCUCUGGUCAACUUCCAUCAUCACUAUAGCCUAGACAUCCAUACCUCUCCCUGGUGCACUCACGACAAGCUGAUGGAGGAUGGUAGUCCAUAUAAGAGCAGGCACAGGUUCACUUGUCAAGCUCAGGUGGAGGGCUUCAAGAAGCUACUUGACGAGAUGGCUGCAUAUCUAUGUAUCGGAACGUGGGAGGUUGACAACCAACACAGUGGAAGGGUUUCACGGACUGGCUCUUAUCUACAGGGAUAAGAAAAGUGACCUGGGCCAUGUACACUAUACUUGUAAUACUAACAUGGCUAUUUGUCACAAGAACCUUGGCCCUGUGUGGAAGCUCUUCUGUCUGGUUGAUAUUGGAGUGGACAUACCAACCCAAACAGUCACAAGCAUCUUAGCUGAGCAACAGGAGUGGGAAUCUGACCGCUGCCAAAGAUUCUCCAAAGAUCAUCUCAAAAAGAGGAAUCUCCAGAAGAAGGCCAGAAAGGUACACCACGAGCAGGAGAAAUCCUACAUGCAGACUCUGCGUGGGAUGGGGAGCGCUGUGGGAGAGUACAUGGGUGGUGGGCAUGGGGAGUCAUCGACAGCAGACACACAACCUACCUCCGUUGAUAUUGACGUUGAUGAUGCUGAACCGGAACUUGAUGACCAGGUGGAGAAUGACGAAGGGGUUAGCAGUGAAAACGCAAAUCCUCUUCUGAUUUUCUACGACUGCGAGACAACCGGUUUCAGCAUCUACAACGAUCAUAUCACUGACGUAGCUGCCAAAAUCGUGUCUCCUCCUGUCCCUGUAGAGCAACAUCCCGCCGCAUACCACCAGCUGUUACAAGGGUCACAGGCAUCACCACCACUAUGCUUCGAGGCAAGAAACCUCUCUCAGCAGUGCUCCCUUGUUUUAUUGACUGGCUGAUCUCUACAACCAAGCAAGUCAGCGAUAAAACAAGCACUCUCCAUUACCCAGUUCUCGUGGCACACAAUGGAUUCUCCUUUGACUUCCCAAUGCUUUUGGCUGAGGUUGAGCGCCGUCCGGAGAGUCUGUCCACCAGUGUGCUCGAACACGCUAACGUCCAUAUAUGGUCUAGAUUUUUCUAAACUGGGUGUGUCACAGCAAAAAAUGCAUGAACUCCAUCCUAGUGUACGUGAGUCACGAGGUGUUCCAGGAUUACUUCCCCUUCAGCUGGCCUCACCAAACAGACACACACCUCAUCUUCCUCUCCGCUAACCUCGUGGGCACAGGGCUAUGGAUGCUCAUAGUUUACUACUGCUACUAUAUUGAGUUCUUUGUCAAAAUAUAACUCUCAGAAUGUUUGCGUAUGUGAACUCAUGUUCAGUAAGAUUAUCCCUUUUUGCUUGUGAUGCACACGCAGUUGCUUGCUGUCAUGACUUGUAUGUUCACUG